CCUGUCUCUGUCUAAGAUAGAGGUUGUAAUGAACAAAGACUAGAUCAUUCAACCUCUCCAUAGACAGUCUAUUGCGCCUCUUGGAGUGUACGUUCUCAAACAUACUCCAAUUGUGCUCACAACCAAAAGCACUGCAUGGUUGGCUCAAGAUGCGAAUGGCUAUUCGCUAAAGAUUUGAUGUUUUAGGACCAAACAUCUGCCACAAUCUAUCUGAGAUGAGAAAAAUAAAAAAAAAUCAGUCUCAUCUAAUAAUAAAUUGAAUAAUAUAUAAUUAAAACCAUGCUCUUAAAAUAUAUUUUUACUUGGUUGCAGUUUUGUCCGAUUGUCUUUGCAAAGCUGAUGAGAGAAGACCUCCCCUUCUGUAUCAGAAAAGGUCUCUAUCUCAUGGAUUAUAGUGCUACUAUGACCAAGUGACAUUCGCUCUAUCACCGAGUAGAGCCCAUUAAGAACCUCCUCAUCCACCUUGAAAUCAAGGCAGAAUUGGAAUGUCGGAUUGAGGUAAUAAGUGGCUGCAUGGAGGGGCUUGUGAAGCUGAACAUGCCAUCUCCUAUCAGUGAUAUCCCAAAUGGGACGAUACUUACUCUCAUCUCCUCCAUAGACAGAUCUGAUGGCCUCCUUGGCCCUAUCCAUGCCCUUCAAGAAUUGACAGAGGGGAGCGAACUUCGUGAAUUGACAGAGGGGAGAGAACUUCAAGAAUUGACAGAGGGGAGCGGACUUCAUGAAUUGACAGAGGGGAGCGAACUUCAUGAAUUGAGGGAGGGGAGCGAACCUCAUGUCCAAGGCUAAGGGAGCACACUUCAAGAGCAUCACCUUUGGAGUGAAUUUCCUCUAGAGGCCUUCCCUAAGGACAAUUCAUCAUGUUUGCAUCAAUAAAUGAAGGAAAAUGAAUGAAAGUGAGUUCAAAGACAAGUUUAAGGGUAACUUCAUGAGCAUGAGGGUUGGAGCGAACUUCAAGUGCUCCUCUCUAGGAGCGAAAAAACAACUUCAAGUGCUCCUUCAUGAGAGUGGAUUUUCUGUAAACCAAACCUACAAAACACAUAAAAUCAAAGAAUAUAUCAAGUUAAAAGAACUAUCAAGGCUAUAUAUUAUACUUAUUUGAUGCCAUACUUGUUUUGUUUUGAAGAUAUGAAAGGAAGAUGAUGCAAAAUGCAAAGUAGCACCUUGAAGAAAUGAGAGAGGGAAGAUUGCAAGACCCCGCCACCAUGUUACUCCAAGAAGAAAACUCCAUCAGCGAGCACAAGAGUAUCAAGGAAGGAAGGAAGAAUCUCAAGAACUUUCACCUCAUCAAGAUGACAUGAAAAGGUCAAGACCUUGAAGUAUAAACAGAUAUCACACAACUAUCUCAAGGUAGGAUAAACAAGCAAGGAUGGAUGAAUGAUGCUUCCCACCAUCACACCAAGCAUCGAGCAAGCUUGUAAUGUUGAGUAUCAAAUCUUCCAAGUCUACAAGCAAAUUGAACUGGCAUCCUAGUCAUCACUCACCAAAUCUAGGAGUUCCACAUCAACACGUCUUGAUUCAAUGUACUUGACUUGCCCAUGAUGGCACAAACUUCGAGGCACCUACCCUUAUCAUCUAUUGGCUAUGCUAAAGUGUUGUAAUUAUUUCAUUGGCCAGAACUGAGUUUGUUGUAACAAACCCUAAUAAGGGUUUUCAUUGUAAAAUCUCGGCCAUUGAUCUUAAAUUGAUUUGACCCAUUGAAUUGUAUUGAGAGCAUUAUAAAAGGUUCAAGCUCUUCAUUUGUAAAGGUUAAUAGAUAGUUUUUGAAGAAUAGAAUAGAAUAGCAAUUAGAAUAGAAGUUAGAUUAGGAGAAGGCAAAGAUUAUUGCCAAGCCUUGUUGUAAAGAACAAUUGAUUUCAUUGAAGUUAUGGUGAAUUUGAUUUGUUACGUCAACAACUUGCAUGGUCUUUACUUCUCAAUUUACUUUCAUGUUGGUUAGAUCAAAUGGAGGAAUUUGUUAAAUGCAGUUGUGUGGAAUCCGUUUAGUCCCUACCACUAGCCUCUUGCUGAUUGUAAGUGUGCCUUGCGUGGUCAACUGGAAUGAUAUGAGCUUAAUUUCAAAUUAUUAUGCGUCCAUUGUUUACACAUUAACUUGAAUGGUGAUCAAUGUUUGAUGAUAAUGAUUUGAACAUCUUUGAACUAUCCCUUAGAAGAUUGCACUGAGCUUGUGUCAAAUUGUUCAAUUUGAUGGUGAGACGUUGCCCAGUAGGAUUCUAUCUAAUCAUUCACCCAUAUUCUUACAUUCUAGGCCUUAGAAUAGACUUUCUCAACCCUUCAUCUUUUUUUUUUUUUUCAAACUCAAGCUAGUUUAGGAUAAAAAGCAUCACAAGAUUACAACAUCAGAUGAUCAAGUUCUAGCGAUUCAAGCAUUCAACAAUUCAACGUAAGUCCCCUUGUGAUACCAACAAUCACAUCAACCAACUGUGCUUAUCUCCUUUCCAUGCUCUAUCCUUUCUUGUGGAGUUGCCUCUUCUUCAACCUGGACUCCUGAUGACCCUUCAGUUGACUCAUCAUGAGAUUCCAAGUCUCCCAUUAGAUUGUAAGACAGGAAGACAUUCUUUGCUUUCAACUUAGCGAUGUGCCGUUCAACCUAGUGCUUAGGGAACUUCAUAAUUGGCUUGCUUAGAGCAUCUAAAUCAUGAACUUCUAGUUCUGACCCGUUAGGUGCCUAAAUUGGCUUAUCCUUCUACUUUCAUAAUCUGGUUGAAUGGUAUUCACAUCUUCUAUUUGAUCCAACACUUGAAUGAUUUCAUGGAUUCUUAUCAACUUAAGAGGCAAUCUAGAAAACAUCCUCUUUCUGAUUUCAUAGUCAUCCUUGGCAUUAGCCCAAUAAUCCUCCAGUUGAAUUCUAUGCCUGUGCCUCACGUCCACUACCAUCCUUAUCUUAUCAUACGGAUCAAAAUCCGACCUUGCGGUGUGAAGUGCGAGGUGAUUGAAUAUUAAUUCAUCUGCUGACUUCUUUGCUGCUGCCGAUGAUGGGCACAUUUCAUUAUAAUCUCAUAUGACAAUUGGAAAUUCAAGCCCAAUCUUCUUCUUCUUCGUUUGCUUCUUGUCAUAGGCAGUCAACUGUCUAGUUACUUCCAACAACACCAUCUUAUAUGUUGGAUAUCUUGGGAGUCUGUAGGGCUAGGCAGAGAAUCCUUGGACUCUAAUGUAAGUGAACUUCAGAAAGUGAAUGAACCAGGCCCCAUACUUCUUUACCAACUUCCUUUCCUCUUGCGACAACCUUGUGUGAACUCCUCCUUGCAAAGAUCUAGCAAUAUGAAUAGUGAAGGUGUCGCUUGCUUUCUUGAAAGAAGUAGGAUCAUAUAAGUGCAAUUGUGAAUAACACUUUCCUAGUUUGCAUCCCAUGGGUCCUUUACUUGGUAGUCCGCUGAAUUUGCCCAUUUUAGCCAACAUGUAGACAAUAUACGAGCUCAUGUAGGACUGGGAUUGCUUCAAAUUUCUUAGCUGCUUGUCCGGGUUGUUGCUAAUUAUUCUUGCCCAGUUUACCACCUUUAUGCCAUCCAUUAAUUCCCGAAUGAAGUAAAAAAUCCAAGAUUCGAAGAUGUAAGCCCAUGGACAUCCUAUAACCCAGCUCAUCAUCAACACAAGAUCGCCAUAUUCUUGCAUGAAGUCCAUGUUGGUGAGCUGCUUGGGUAUCUUUGAAAUGUGAGGCUUCGACUUCUGCAUCCAUAUUCUAUUGAUGAUUCUAGCUCAUCUCUCAAAGACAAAAUUAUAAAUCAAAGUCGCUCUUUCCUUAAUCUUAUACAUCAUGGAAUGAAAUGCGGGAAUUCCAAAAGCUUCACCAAUUGAUUCAGUGGUGAGAUUUCCCAAGAGCCUUCCAUCAAGUGCCAAAAUCGCUCUUUUCUCAGCGGCAUAAUGCUUUGCACAUUCCAUGAUCAGCUCCAGGCACUAGAUGGUAGGAGGGAAGCCGACAGCUGCUACAAUUCCACUUAUGACUAUCUUCUUGGCAGUAGCUAAUGAAGGAUGUCCGUCUUGACCAUAUACUCUCUUCCUGAAUUCUCCCAACUUGAAAGUUCCCAAGUUGGUAUCUCUGACUUCCCUCCAUUUUGAAAUCAUUUGUCUUUGAGAGGAAUCCUCUCUGUUUGUUCUUAAUCUGCGCAUGCCGGGAAGUAUUCGCCACCUUGCUAGAUUCUGCCAUUCUUGCAAAAUAAAAUAAUUAACAUAAAAUUCCUGACAAGAGAAUUCCAAAAUUUUGCCAAGGGAAGAAUCCCAUGUUGUUACUUCCAGACUUGGAAUAAAUAACAAAAAACCCUCCAAAAAAGAGAAAUUUUGGAUAAAAACCGUGCCCUAGUUAUUCUUCGCUUUGCUUUUGCUUCAAUUUUCUCCAAAACGUGUUGUGAAGAAUGAACUCCAAAACCUUGUUUAAAUUGAAAUUGUCCACCAAGUUGCUAAGUUGGCGAUGAGAUAACUUUAGCAGUUGCAUUUAUUUAUUCCAAUCACACUUCAUGUUUCCUUAAUGAGAGAGACAACUCAUCAUUUCAGUGGACCUUGCUUGCCAUUCUUGAGUUCAAAAUUAGGAACUUCCAUAAUCUCUUAAGUCAUGCUUCAUUAAUGCGAAAUAUUCCAUUUUGCAUGUUGCCAGCUUGUCUUUCACAAGAUUCUUUCUAUCCUAGGCAUACAAAAGAUAUCUUGGAGGAUUUUCUUGCCUUGGAGGAAAUUUUAUGACUUUUUCCAUUUUAGAAGAAUUCCUAAGUGCAUAUCAAUCUUGGAGAAGGAAAAUUCCUCUCCUUGUGCAAUUUUGCCAUUUCAAGUUCUAUGAAUGCUUGGGCAUGUUUUGUCUUGAAGGAGGAAUUUUCUGAUACUUAACCAGUUUUUCCAUUUUCCAAAGAAUUGUGUCCUGUUUGGAGUCCAGAGUAGGAGAAUUCUCAACACACAGCCAAUUUUAAUUGCUUUCUAGGAAUCCACUUUACAUGGGCGCAUUUGAAGCCUAAUGGAGGAAUUCAUCUUGAGAGGAAAAAUCCUCCUUGACAUGGAUUUUGUGCCCUCCUCCUUGCCUUCAGCGCAUUUGAGGUUUGAGGUGAGGUGAAGGAAUUUUCGGAAAAUGGAAAAUUCCUUCCAUGCUUGGGAUUUGUGCCCUCCUCCCUGUCUUGGGUACAUCUAGGGGGUGAAGGAGGAAUUUUACUUGAGAGGAAAAAUCCUCCUUGACAUGGAUUUUGUGCCCUCCUCCUUGCCUUGAGUGCAUUUGACUGAUGGAGGAGGAAUUUUGAGUGGAGGAUGAAUUCCUCCUUGACUAAAGAAUUGCUUUUUGUCUCCUCUCUUGAGUGCUUUUGAGGUGUAGAGGAGGAAUUUUGAGAUUUGGAGGAUUCCUCCUGUUCCUUGAAAUUGCACCCAAGAAUAGACUUUUUCCAUGUCUUGUCAUUUCGGGAAGGAUUUCUAGAUAGCCAAAAUUUUGAUCACAUGCUUGCUCUUCAACUUUUCCGGAUUUAGAAUUGGAUAUUCAGGAAUGUUUUGCCGUUAGUGCCCUACCAAUUGCUAGAGAUAGACUUUCCAAAAAUAGAGUUACUAAAAAUAGUAAGUUCUUCCAAACACCAAAUUAGAGCAGAUCGGGACAUAGUGACGCUUAUUAAAAAUAGACUUUCUAAAAACGGACACUGCUAAAAAUAGUAAGUUUGUUUAAACACAAAAUUAGGCCAAUCCAGGCCAAAAUGAAACUUACUAAAAGUAGUAAGUCCUCAGAAUUCACUCAAAUUUUUUUGGUAGCUUCCUUGAAGGGAACUCAUUCCAAUGCUUUGCUCAGAUUUCUCAAAACCCUAGGCUAUGAACCUCAUUUCUAAGUCUGAAGGAUAAAAGCCCUAAAAUAGACAAUACAAGCUGCCAAACAUAAGCCAAAUUUCUCCAAAACACUUGCAGACUUAGCCAAAAUUCGCUAAAACACUUGGGGACUUGAGGAGAUUGAAGAAAUUUACUGCCAAACUGCCCAAAAGACCACAACCAAAAGACCAAGUGGACAAAAAUGUAAGGGUCCGCAUUUGGAAAGGGGUGAUGUGUGAUUAGGUCACAAUAGGACCCAUGAAUGAUUGUAUACAAAUUUGCAAAUAUUUUUUGCCUUCUCUACACAUGUCCUAAUUCAUGGAAGCUUGCCAAUAUCCUCCAACAUGAGGUCAAGGCAAUGGGCGACACAUGGAGACCAAAAUAUAGAUAGGUGUCUCUCCAUCAAAAGUUUACCUGCAGCAACAUAAUUUGCCGCAUUAUCGGUUACCACUUGUACUACAUUCUCCUCACCCACCUCAUGUAUGACCUCCUCUAUGGCCUCACAUAGGAAAGUGGCAUUUUUUGAAUUUGCAGAAGCAUCAAUGGACUUUAGGAACAUGGUGCCACUUGAAAUUUGAAAAUAAAGCAAAAUCAAUGAUCAUUCAAUAAAUCUUAAAUUAAAAAUACUAAUUACUAAAUCAAAUUCAAAUUAUUCAAUCACCUGUUGAAGAAACAAGAAAAUUCAGGAGCGUCUUGUUUCUCCCAUCGGUCCAACUAUCGGUCAUGAUGGUGCAACCCUUCUUGCUUGAUAUCUCGUGCAGGUCCUCUAAUGUGGCUUUUACAUCAGUCACUGAUACUAUCAAAAUUGGGCCACUUAAGUCAGAUUCAGAAGGGGCUUUGAACCUCGCCCCACAAAUAGUGAUGGCAUCAACCAUGCUCUGCCAAUAAGGAGACCUAUCACAAAUAAAUUAAAUAACAUAAGUAUGUCCAAUAAAAAUUCAUUAGACAAAGCAAAAUGUAAAUAUUAAAAAUUUAAAACAAUCAAAUAAAAAGGAAUUAUCUAGCUGCAAAGAAUGGAAUGGUGCAGUAGUACCAAAAUCUCCCAUUUGUAUGUCUAGCCGCAUCAUGUACCUCCUUGUUCCAACCUGUUGUGAGGUAUUCACACAUUGCCCCAUUGAAAAUGGGGACCCCCACUUUUUCGCUUUCUAGGGUAGUUGUCCCAGUUUAGUCGUAGGGUGUGUUAAGAGUCCUUAGCUAUUAGCCUUUGCAUUGAGGAGGUAUAGAUGGUCAAGAGGUCAGGAGUCAGGUGGAUAACCUUGUGUGAGGGGUGAAAUAAAAAGGUACUGAUGGAGAAACCCUUAAUCAAGUCUAAUCAACAACGCAGGAGUUUCCUUGAUCAUCCGGGUGACUUAUAUAUGUUACAGCGAAAGCUGACUUCUAGAGGCAAAAUUUAACUAAGCAUGCCAAAAUUUCAAGUGCCCCCUAAUUGGAGCAAAAUCUUCUUCUCUUGCUCAUAAUUAGGAGCGAAAUGGACUUCUUGAGCAGCAUUUGAGGGAAAUGAGUGAGUUUAUAGGCCUUUAACAACAUUUUCAUCAUAGAGGAAGUGAAGCCCAUCAUGAGUUCAACCGAAGGAUGAAUGAGAGAUUGCUAGUUAGGGAUGCUUCAAGUGCUCCUCUUCUGGAGCUAAAUUCACUUCAAGUGCCCCUCUCCUAGAGCAAAUUUCACCCUUGUUGCCUCAAGUCGAAAGAGAAAUCAUAUUCAAGGUGAGUUUUGAGGUCUUAUAGUAUAUGGAGGCAUAAACUAAGGCAUAGAGUAGUAAGAUUCAACUCAUAAGUGCGUGUUCAAGCUACUUCAAGUGCUAAAGGUUGAGGCGAAAAACUUCAAGUGCUCUCUAGUGAGAGCGUAAUUCAUUUCAAAUGCCCUUAGUUGAGAGCGAAAUUGUUUCUAGAAUGCCCCAUGGGCCUAGUUUCAUCAAAAUUGAAUGAAUAGAAUGAAGGAAGAUGAGUGAGCAAACACUAAGUGUCAAGUUUCAAUCCACUUUGGGUGCACCACUCUUAGAGGGAACUUCAUGUGCAUGAGAUUUGGAGCGAACUUCAGGUGCAUCACUUGUGGAGCGAACUUCAUGUGCCUCUCUUUCAAAGUGAAAUUCCUCCUAAAGACCCCAUGUUGAGCAUGGUAUGAUGCACAAGAUUUGAGAAGGUGAGUGUAAGUGAGUGAAGGAGAGUUAAGUGUUUAUUUGAAAAACACUUCAAGUGCACCUUCUUUGGAGCGAAUUUCACUUCAAGUGCUCUUUGAUAGGAGCGAAUUUUCCUUGUAGGCUUUCCAUGAGGUGAGUUUGACAUGUUUUCAUGAUUGAAUGUUUAAAAAACAUAAGGUUUGAGUCAAUGAAGCAAUAAAAAUGAUUGAGAAUGAGUUCAGUUUUGACUUGAAAUUCACUUCAAUUGCAUGCAAAUUAGAGCGAACUUCAAGUGCAUGCAAAUUGGAGCAAACUUCAAGUGCAUGGGUUGUGGAGCGAACUUCAUGUGCAUGAACCUUGGAGCGAAUUUGCCUCAUUUGCCCAAGAUAAGACGAAAAAUUGCUUACAGAUAAUUGCCUUGAGCCGAUUUGAUAUCUUCAUAUGCUUAGAAAAGAACAAUUUUGAAUUUGAGAUGAUGAAGGGCAAGUUAGAGGGUUACUUCAAGUGCAUCCAUCUUGGAGCGAACUUCAUGUGCACCCAUCUUGGAGCGAACUUCAUGUGCUCCACUCUCGGAGCGAAAUUCCUAUAGAGGCGUUCCCUAAGGUUGGUUUGUCAUGUUAUCAUCAAUAAAUGGUUGAAAGACUCAAUGUUAGAACCCAUAGAAUGAAGGGAAACAAGUGAAAGCAAGUUCAAUGACGAGUUUGAAGAUCACUUCAUGUGCAUCCAGAAGGCCAUAAUGUGCCCUAUCAAGCACAUCCUGAGGUGACUAAAAUGUUUGUGGAUUUAAAAACUCAUUACUUUUGGCCAAAAAUGAAGGAGAUAGCUAGUUAUGUCACCAAAUGUCUUGAAUGCCAACGCAUUAAAGAAACAAAUUGCCAUCCUACUAGAGCCCUCUAUCCUUGUGAUUUGCCUUGGCAAAAAUGAUUAGUAAUUUCCAUGGAUUUCAUGACAGGUUUUCCCAAAACUUGGAACUGGCAUGACAUUAUUGGGAUAGUGGUUGACAAACUAACCAAGGUAGCACACUUUGCAAUGUGAAGGAUGAUGCCCUUGUUUUGGCUAAAAGAUUCAUAAAGGAAGUCAUUAGAUUGCAUGGAAUGCCUAAGGUGAUUAUUUUUGAUAGAGAUAAGUUGUUUACUUUUAGGUUUUGGACCUCUCUUACGACCACGUUGGGUACCAAACUCAAUUUUAUCACCUCUUACCACCUUGAAAUGGAUGAUCAAAUAGAAAGAGUUAACUAAAUUAUGGAUUAUAUGCUCCUAAUGUAUGCCAUGGAUCAGCCCACUAAGUGGGAAGAGCAUUUGUCUAUAGUCAAGUUUUCCUGUAACAACUCAUACCAUUCUUCCAUUCAAAUAGCACUAUUUGAAGCAUUCUAUGGCAAGAAGUGUGAAAUGCUUAUAGGAUGGGAUGGUUUAGAUAAUCGUGUAACUAUUGGGCUGGAGCAAGUCCAAGAAUAUGACAAUCGAGUGAAAAUUAUAAGGGAAAGGCUGAAGGAAGCUUCAAAUUGUCAAAAGAGUUAUGCAGAUGCUAAGCAAACUCCAAGGGAAUUUUCAGUAGGUGACAAUUUGUUUCAUCGUAUCAGACCUCAUAAAAGCUCAAUUAAAUUUAGCAAGGUUUCCAAACUAGCUCCACGAUUCAUAGGACCUUUUGAGAUACUUAAGAUUAGUUGCGUGGCUUACCAAUUGGCUCUUCUACCAUCUCUAUCACAUUCAUAAUGUAUUCCACGGGGGCUUCACUAUCUAGGCAAUAUUAUAUCACGUGCAUUCAUAUUGGGGGGUUUAAUAUCCCAAAAAUGAGGGUGUAAUAUAUUGCCUAUUGGUGAAAAUAGGGUUUUUUUUAAUUCCAACUAUGAAAAAAUACAAUAUUUGGUGAAAAUAGGGGGGCUUUUAAUUUGGUCUGUGUAUUAGGAGGGGGUGAAAGAAAAUGAGUUUAGGGCAAUAAUUUUUGAAAAUAGGGGGAUUCUUUAGUAUGCCAUAACACACAUGCUAUAACCCAGGUUCACUAAGUGAAGCUCCUGUGAUGUAUUCCUUGUAUCAUUGCUUAAGAAAUAAUUGUUGACCCCACACAUGUGAUUGAUUGACAAGCACUGCAAGUAGAAGAGGCUAUAGAUAUCCACCUCGAUCUGCUCACAAUCAUAGAUAGGAACAACUUGUAGCUAUGCAACUAGACUAUCUAGCAAGUUAAGGUGCUAUGGGACCAAUAUGCAGAACAUGGAGCCACUUGGGAAGAUGAAAAUGUAAUUAAAUUAGAAUAUCCUUGUUUAAUUAAGCCAAACCGACUUAAUCCUAAGGGGGGGAGUACAUCAUAUCCCUAGAAAGCUUAUUAAUUCUCUUCGAUGACCCCUAGCCUCUAUGUAAUGUGGACUAGAGAUGUAGUUUUGGAUUUCGUUAUGUGGACCUAUGUCUUUGUGUCUUGGUUGUGAACCUUGAUGCCAAUAUUAUUGAGUGUAAUUACUAUCCUUAUAAUGUAUUUUUAAAUUUAAUGCAUUGAUUUGUUUGGACUAACCCAAACUAAUGAAUGGUUGGUGGACUUGUGUGAGAUUUGUUGUUGGCUGCAGGCACCUGGGGUGCAAGAUGAAGUAGAUUUUGUGGUUCUGUGAUGAGAGAUAGACAAACAUUAUUCACAUAGAAUGGAGGACAUUAGAUAAAUUAAAGCCAAACCAAAAUCUCAUCAACGAAGUGCAUAAAGUGGAGGAAAAUAAAAAUAAGGAAGACAUGGGAAUGAAAAACUCGUGAGGCAAUCGACCUACAGCAGCUGCCAUCAAUGGUGCCACCUACUCCUUCCUACAAGAGGAGACAGCCUGCAAUCAAUGAGGAAUGGUGAUGGGCUUGGGAAAAAUAGGCGAUCGUUCCUCGAGAGGCAUGGCAACGCCAAAAAGGAAGGACAUUUUGCAGGUUUUGACUAAAAAACAGCAUGUCUUUUGUAAUAAAAAUCCCCAUGACCUUUGGAAUAGAUAGCUUUUUUUGUUGGGGCUUGGAAGGCAGAGUAGUGGGAAGGAGGUAGCAAUCUGGGCAAUUGAUGGUGAAAGGAUUUGGGAAGAAGGAAAGUGCUAAGAGUGACAGGGUUAAGGAAGAAAACCUCUCCAAAUCAUAUGCUAGAACCUUGGACACCAUUGCUCCAGGUUUUCAUAUUCAUUUAGUUUUUCUUUCUGAAUAUAUUUGCUAUUUUCCAUGUUAAAAAAGAAUGAAAAUCUGUUAAAAAUGUUGAGUAAUUUUAGAACAUUUAUCUAAUUGUUUAUUAAUUAGGUCCUUUAAUUGCUUUUUCACUUAAGCUAAAUUUAGGUGCUUUUUAUUAACUAGAGUUUUCUUUUCUAACAUUAGUUGUAGAUGUAGUUGAGCUUAAUUUAGCUUUUACUUUGCAUUGCUUUAGUUCUCCUAAUUUUAGCAUUAGGGUUUGCCCUUAGAGUUCCAAUCAUCCUUUAUAAGGAUUCAUUCAUUCAUUGUAAUUUUACCUCUAAAAUUGUAUCUUCAAUCAUUCUUUGUGCAUGAUAUAGAUUCUUUGGUUGUUAUAGAACAUACAAUCUUUGCUUGAUCUCUUUUGUGUGAUAGUUGUUUUGCUUGCAGAUGAAUUUUGGCUCUUGUAGUUGAUCAUCAACUUCUACAAAAAAUGCCUCUUGGUAAUAGCUGCAACUUGGGAUAUGAAUGCUGUGGAUGUUGGAAUGAAAGCAAAGCCUUAGUUAACCCAAAUAUACAAAAUCGCCUUCAUCAAGUGCUGCAAUCCUUAUGGGUAUGAUUGUUGUUUGCCUCUCUUUCUUUCUCGCUUUUAGCUUGCCAAGGAGCCUUAUUGGAGAUAGGUUUUCUUGCUAGAUUAUAAAUGAAUAACCUAGUAUAACUAACUGUACGAAUAACCAGCAAUAAAUGAUUUAAAUAUACAGAAUGCAUAGGCUAAAUAAUAAGCUAUUAUUGUGGGACAGUGUGAGGUGCACUUUACCAUUGUGAUGGUAUGCCUGCUGUUGAAAUUUAACAUUCUUUUAAUUUUUUAAUUGAACAUGUUAUGGUCUUGAUACAAGUCGUUGUGAGAGUGAAAAUUCAUGAUAAUAUGCAUUCCAUCAAAUUAAAACAGUAGUACUAUAUUCCAUACUGAAUACAACUAUCGAUUGACCCUUCUUGCCUUGUUUCCUUAUUAAAUAACUGGGCUGGUUAUGAAGAUCUUGAUUCUCGAAUAGGACCUCCUCGAUGUGCAAUCCUCAUUAAAUUUAAGGAUCUUAGUCCCUUGAGUUAAUUCAUAGAUCAGGUUGUUGUACUUAAUAAAUUUUAAUCACACAAACAAAUUAUUUAUGGUUCCCUAUCUCAUCCUCUAGUUAUAGUGCUAAGUGGGUAUAUUUCAUCCUCUAGUUAUAGUGCUAUGUCAGGUAUAGGCACUAACUUUUUACAGAAACGGAUGGAGUAAGGGUCCUAUGGGGAUAGAUAGAGGCUAAAUACCUCUAAUACAUAGGCUACCCUUUUCCAUAUCAGGUGAUCACUGAUGGUUAAAUCCUAUGAUCUGUUCAGAGAUAAGCUUAUCCAUGCUCGAGAUUGACAGUAGUCAAGGAGCAUAUUAUGUCAGUGAACUGUUAGCCGUACCACUUGAUGGUGGGAUGGAUUCCGCUAGGAGCAUGUGGGCCUUGGGGCCAAUGGCAUGCUGACAAUGGAUGUUAUUGGUUGCUUAGCUGCCCAAUGGACUGCAGGGAAGAGGAUUUCUAAUGAAGCAUAAGUAGGUAAUAGAUUGAACCCACUCUAUUGGAACACCUUGGGUAAUUGGUCUUUAGGAGGUUAUCCCUAUGCACUGCAGGAUGCUGAAUGUCCACUCGCUCACCACGGAACACAAAAUUUGCUUGGAGGAAUGGAUAGGGUUUAUACCCGCAUUGGAGGGUUCGUAUUGCAUCCUGAGGUGAACCAUGGCAGAUUCAAGACAAGAAGUCUACAUGACCAGGCAAAACACUUAUGGUAUUCUCAAGGAACACCAUGCAUUUGACAAAAUGUUUGCAAAAAAGGUUUUUACAGGGAAUGUGAUGAUUACAGGCUAGCCACAGAAUGGACAAGGUAACGAGGCUUUGAAACUCUUUCAUGAAAUGAAAAAAUGAGGCAUUAAGCCCAAUUCAAUUGCAACAGCAAGCAUUCUUCCUGCCUGUGCUCACACGGCAGCUUUAUAUCAGGGCAUAGAAAUUCAUAAUUAUAUUAUUUAAAAUGGAUAUAACUCAAAUUCCCUUGUAUUAAAUGCUCUAAUAGAUAUGUAUGCAAAAUGUGGAGAUAAAAAGGAUGCCCGUAGAGUCUGACAAAAUGCCAACAAGAUGUGUAGUAUUUGGCAAAAUACCAACAAAAUGACACAAUGCAAUGAUCACUGCAUAUGCCUUGCACGGAAAGGGUGAAGAUUCUUUAGCUAUAACAACCAAAUGCAACAGACAGCUUUAAUGCCAGACUACAUCACUUUCAUUGAUGUUUUGUCUGCAUGCACCCAUGCAGGAAUGGUCUGUAAAGGCAUGGAAUUAUUUGAUUUUGUGAACCCAGUUUGUCACAUUGCAACCUGUGCAGAGCAUUAUUCAUGUGUGGUUGACCUUCUUGGCCAUGCUGGCGACCUUAUGAAGCAUGUGACAUUGUCAUCAGCAUGACAUUUGAACCUAGAGCUAUUAUUGUGUUGUUGUGCUUGCUUCAUGCAGAACUCAUUGUACUGUGCAGAUUGGAGAACUUAUGGCAGAGCAUCUUUUUAAGUUGGAGCCUGAAAAUUCUGGAAAUUACAUAUUGCUUUCAAGCAUCUAUUCUGCAAUUUGCAGGUGGGAUGAUGCAGAAAGGGUUAGGAAGAUGACGAGAGGCAGAGAGGUGAGCAAGAAUCUAGGAUGUGAUUGGAUUGAGAUUGAACCUACAGCUAGUAUAUGUGUUGCCGUGCUUACUUGUUACAGAACUCAUUGUAAUGUGCACAUUGGAGGACUUAUGGCAGAGUAUCUUUUCAAGUUGGAGCCUGAAAAUUCUGGAAAUCGCAUAUUGCUUUCAAGCAUCUAUUCUGCAAUUUGCAGGUGGGAUGAUGCAGAAAGGGUUAGGAAGAUGAUGAGAGGCGGAGGGGUGAGCGAGAAUCUAGAAUGUGAUUGGAUUGAGAUUGACAAGCAGUAGGGAAUGAAUCACAUCUAGAAAUGGGGAAAUUUUGUGACUCUGGAGAGCUUGGCAUGCCAGAUGAAGGAGGCAGCGUAUGUGCCUGGGUAAAAUUUUGUGCUCCAUAGUGUGAAGGAUGAAUGUGCCCUCUAGUCUCAGCGAAAAGAGCCAUUAUUUUUUGGCUUGUCAUCACCUUACCUGGUACACCUCUCGGUGUUAAGAAAACAGGGGCAGAACAAAGCAAUAUUAAUCUGUUACAAAUUAGACAGAGAAAAAUACCAGAUACAGAGAGACAACAAAGUAACAUGGUUCACCAAUCAAUUGGCUACAUCCGCAGGAAAGCGGUCUUAGUUUUUUCUUUUAUUAAUUUGCAGUGAACAGAUGAAGUUUUUCAGUAGAGACAAAUGUUACAUUCACACACUAACAUUGAACAUGUCAAUGAAGAUGAAGAGUCAAAAGACAAGGCAGAUGUAAAAAACAGUUGGCUGGAGCUGAAGAGAUGGACUUCACAACUGAACACUCUCGGAAUCAUCAAGAAUCUAUGCGUCUGGGAAUUAUGAUACUGCUACUAAGUAUAUCUCAAAGAUUGUUGGCUGAGAAAUUAUAAUGAGGGAUUCCAAAUGGUAUGUUAAUCACAAGGAUGAUAAAUGUUCUUGUGAGGAAUAUUGCUAAUGGUAAUUGGAUCAACAAAAGUCCAGCAUACUAGGCUACAUGGUCAAAUAUCUAUGUAUCUAGUUGUGACCAAGGAAUAUGUCAAUUUUCUGUUUCAUAUUUCUUUCUGCGAUUUGAGAUGUAGGUUAUAAUCACUGAGAAGAUAGAAAUUAUUGUAGAAAAUGCAUGGGUACUUCGGUGUUUUUGCCCUUUAAGGAAAGCUGACCUGUUGUUAACUUAUA